rnacentral:rRNA from 1 species
UACAUGGGGUGCAAACGUUGCUCGGAAUUAUUGGGCGUAAAGCGCGCGUAGGCGGUUACUUAAGUCGGAUGUGAAAGCCCUCGGCUUAACUGAGGAAGUGCAUCCGAAACUGAGUAGCUAGAGUACGAAAGAGGGUCGCGGAAUUCCCGGUGUAGAGGUGAAAUUCGUAGAUAUCUGGAGGAACACCGGUGGCGAAGGCGGCAUCCUGGACCGACAUUGACGCUGAGAACCGAAAGCUAGGGGAGCAAACAGG